AAGCACAUGCCUUAAUACGGUGAAGCCGCGAAUAGCUCAUUACAACAGCCACCGUUUACUAGAAUAUAGUUAUCCUACUUGGAUAACUGUGGCAAUUCUAGAGCUAAUACAUGCAAAAAAGCUCCGACCGCAAGGAACGAGCGCAUUUAUUAGAAUAAAAACCAAUCGGGUUUCGGCCCGUAAUUUGGUGAAUCUGAAUAACUUUGCCAAUCGCACAGUCUUAGUACUGGCGAUGUAUCUUUCAAGUGUCUGCCUUAUCAACUUUCGAUGGUAGGUUAUACGCCUACCAUGGUGGUAACGGGUAACGGAGAAUAAGGGUUCGACUCCGGAGAGGGAGCCUGAGAAACGGCUACCACAUCCAAGGAAGGCAGCAGGCGCGCAAAUUACCCACUUCCAGAACGGAGAGGUAGUGACGAAAAAUAACGAGACAGUCCUCUUCGAGGUCUGUCAUCGGAAUGGGUACAAUUUAAAUCCUUUAACGAGGAUCUAUUGGAGGGCAAGUCUGGUGCCAGCAGCCGCGGUAAUUCCAGCUCCAAUAGCGUAUAUUAAAGUUGUUGCGGUUAAAACGCUCGUAGUUGGAUUUGCGGCCUCGGAGAACGGUCCCCCGAAAGGGCGGUCACUGUCUCUCCUAGCCUAAAUUCGAGUCGUCUCUAGGUGCUCUUUACCGGGUGCCUAGAGUGACUAGAACGUUUACUUUGAAAAAAUUAGAGUGCUUAAAGCAGGCGAAAUAGCCUGAAUAAGGUGCAUGGAAUAAUGGAAUAGGACCUCGGUUCUAUUUUGUUGGUUUUCGGAACCCGAGGUAAUGAUUAAGAGGAACAGACGGGGGCAUUCGUAUUCCGGCGCUAGA
rnacentral:rRNA from 1 species